UCAUUCCAGACUAAUGCAGACAACAGAUCAUGAAGGCCUGAGCAAGUGAAUCUUGCAUUUUGAUUUUUUGAUGAUUAUGGGACAAGAUAUUUUGAAUUUACUUAUGAUGAUCAUACACCAUAUAUAAAACUGUAAUUGAAGUAAUAAUCAAACAAUGUGUUAGAUACAGAGGCAAGGGAAAAAGGCAAGUCCGAACAUGUCUGGACUUGCCCCAGAGCUGUGUCCCAAUUAAGGAUCUGAAACUAAGAUGGUCACGAGGAAAGUAAGGGAGGGAAGCAGGGUAUAUGUGGGAAUGGCUGGGACUUUCCGAUAAGGUAGUUGCAUGCUCGAGAGGUCACGUACGCCUUAUAGAGGCAUGGGUUGAAAGGGUAUAUAAGGCCAAGGGGACCAAGAAGAGAGGUCUGGCACCCUGGAGCCAUGGGGAAGUUGAGACUUCGCACCGCCAGAAGGGACAAGACCCCUUGACCCUCAGCACUGGUUCCUGAUUUGGCUGCCUUACUCUGCCUCAACCCUAGGAUCUCAAAGUUGCAGCAACAGACUUGGAGAAAAGACAAAGGUGACUGAGUGAUGAAGAUCUGAAGUGUUCGAAGGACAACAGCCAGAGGUGCUCCCCAUGAGGA